AACAAACGCUGGCGGCGUGCCUAACACAUGCAAGUCGUACGAGAAAGGGUCCUUCGGGGCCUGAGUAAAGUGGCGCACGGGUGAGUAACGCGUGGAUAAUCUACCCUUCAGUUGGGAAUAACUCAUCGAAAGGUGGGCUAAUACCGAAUAACACUGUGAGACCUUGGUCGAUCAGUCAAAGAGAGCCUCUGCUUGCAUGCCCUCGCUGAAGGAUGAGUCCGGGUACCAUUAGCUAGUUGGUAGGGUAAUGGCCUACCAAGGCGACGAUGGUUAGCUGGUCUGAGAGGAUGAUCAGCCACACUGGAACUGAGACACGGUCCAGACUCCUACGGGAGGCAGCAGUGAGGAAUCUUGCGCAAUGGGGGCAACCCUGACGCAGCAACGCCGCGUGAGUGAGGAAGGUCUUCGGAUCGUAAAGCUCUGUCGGAUGGAAAGAACCGCAUGGGGGUAAAUAGCCCUCAUGUCUGACGGUACCAUCAGAGGAAGCACCGGCUAACUCCGUGCCAGCCGCCGCAGUAA
rnacentral:rRNA from 1 species